UACGAAGGGUGCAAGCGUUACUCGGAAUUACUGGGCGUAAAGCGUGCGUAGGUGGUUCGUUAAGUCUGAUGUGAAAGCCCUGGGCUCAACCUGGGAAUGGCAUUGGAAACUGGCGACCUAGAGUGCGGUAGAGGGUAGUGGAAUUCCCGGUGUAGCAGUGAAAUGCGUAGAGAUCAGGAAGAACACCGGAGGCGAAGGCGGCUUGCUGGGCAUGAUCUGACGCUGAGGCGCGAAAGCGUGGGGAGCGAACAGG
rnacentral:rRNA from 1 species